rnacentral:lncRNA from 12 species
UACACUAUAGGGACUACAAAAUAUAAUUGUCAAGGGUGAGGGAGGGGGUCAGAAGUGAGAAACUGAGAUGGAUGCACACACUUGGAGCAAAAUUAAGCCUGUUAUCGGUAGAGCCCAAAAACACAAACAUUUCACUGGAGCCAUUUAGGUUAGAGAAGACUCUCCACUUAGCGUCUCCCUGAGGCCUCCUUUUGUUAGUUUGCUUGUCUAGCUUCUCCCGAAUCCUUGUGCUUGUGUACGGAUUUUUAAUCACUUCAUUUAACUUGAGUGCAUUUCUGUUCCUUUAAGCCAAGAUAUCUGACUGAAGGAAAGCUUUCAGCGAAGGCUUCACAUUCUACAAUGUGUCCACCGUCCAGCAAAAGAACAGAGAUGCUACCUCAGCCCUGCUGUCUGGUCUUUGGACGUGAGUGUACAUGGAGCUGGUCCUAAGAAAGCCCACACUUGUGUUGCACAGCGCAAUUCACACAGCUCACUCCCAGGACUCCACUUCCUCAUACCAACCUUUCUAAGGAGAGGAAAGGAAUCAAGCCCAUUCUGCAGAGGAGGACCAGUGAAGUUCAAGAAAAGUGUGAUGUCAAGUCAGAAGGAGAGCACAGAUUUCCUGAACUUUGCUCUAGCUGAACAUCUGAGGGGGAAAACAAAACACCCACCCCUCCAGGAGAGUGGCCUUUUGGGAAUUCCACAGCAAGUGUCUGGUAAGUGUUGUUUAAUUGGAUGCAUUAAUGUUUGUAGAGAGCGAGUCUAGACCUUUAGAGUUAAUCUAGUCUCUUCUCAACAGCCACAUUAGCCUUUAGGCUAAUUACGGAAAGAAAGACAAAAAGACAGAGACCUUGGAUCUUACAAUGGAGCUGGGCUUUUCUUGGGGCAGUAAAAUACUGUAUUUUAUUUUACUUUUUAAAUCAUUGAUUUUUUUUUUUUUUGGCAUAUAGUUCCACGAAUUUUAACAUUCGUGUAACCACCUUCAGGAGACAGAUCCAUCACACCUAAAAGCUCCUGAAUACUGGCCCUUUGAAAUGAUUUUCAAAAUAGUUAUCCUGGUGUACACAUAAAUUGAAAGCCACCAAGAUAUUUGUAAAAUGAAAUACACAUUUUGUUUGUAAGACAAAACUCGUGUGUGCUUUAGAGGAUUUGAUUUCCUUCCACUUUGGAGGAUACAAAAAUUAUUGAGAAAGAAUCCACACAGGUCCCUCAAUAAUUUUUAAAAGCAAAAUGAUGGCUUGACUUUGCAGGCUGUAACAGGAGACAUCAGAGCAGUAUGGGCAGUGGUGGGACCAUGCGAGAGGAAAGUAGCCUCUCAGGAAGGUAGGCGUCCCGGCAUUCCCC